rnacentral:misc_RNA from 1 species
UAAUUUAGAUGGUUGAAGAUUGAGAAUUAACUUAUAUUUUUACAACAGAAUUGAAACAUCACCAUUUGUUGUGUUCAGUUGAUGCUGGAGAAAGAUCAGAUCAUGAGGAUUCCAGCACAGCAGCAGAUGGAGCGACAGGAAUUUAUAGCACGAGAACAUAGUGAGGAGUAUGAGGCAGCUCUUCAGAGAGCUGUUGCUUUAGACAUUCCACAAGCCUACUCAUCUUCUCCAUAUGGAACUUUUCAUGUAUUGGAAGAAGGGGAGACUUCUGGCAGCUCAAGUGGAGGAAUUUCAUUAUUGUCAUUCAAGAAAAUAAGGGAACGUUGGGAUAAUUUUAUAGACCGUCUUUUUGAUGUGGACGAAUCAGGUCACAUGGUGUUCAAGAAGCCAGUCUCAUAGACCUCAAAAUGUUCCACUGUUGUAAUUAAGCCAUGCAUUCUCUUCACAAAUCGUUCAAA